UACGGGGGGGGCAAGCGUUGUUCGGAAUUACUGGGCGUAAAGGGCUCGUAGGUGGCCAACUAAGUCAGACGUGAAAUCCCUCGGCUUAACCGGGGAACUGCGUCUGAUACUGGAUGGCUUGAGAUUGGGAGAGGGACGCGGAAUUCCAGGUGUAGCGGUGAAAUGCGUAGAUAUCUGGAGGAACACCGGUGGCGAAGGCGGCAUCCUGGACCGAGAUUGACGCUGAUGCGCGAAAGCCAGGGGAGCAAACGGG
rnacentral:rRNA from 1 species